UCUAGAUUAACCCUGAUCCAGCGACGCCGCGUGAGUGAAGAAGUAUUUCGGUAUGUAAAGCUCUAUCAGCAGGGAAGAAAAUGACGGUACCUGACUAAGAAGCCCCGGCUAACUACGUGCCAGCAGCCACGGUAAUACA
rnacentral:rRNA from 1 species